UUUUAGCCCCGAUCGAAGCGAUAUCCUUUUGUGGCGGGGUUCGCCACAAAAGAUAUAGCGUAGAGCGGGAUUAGCU
rnacentral:sRNA from 1 species